AACACCUCUUCUGCAAACACCUCUUCUCUUGAUAUGCUUCUGCUCUCUCACUCCUCCGCUCUGUCCAUUGUCAUUUUCUACUGGGUAUUCUUGUAUUGAUUUAGUUCAGUCCUUGGCGAUAUGCUAGGUGUUUGUGUUUUCCCCUGAGUAGCGAGUGAGAGUGAAUUCCCACAGAGAAAGAGGCUGCUGCAAUUCCAAGAGAUAAGGGAUAGGCAUGUCUUCAAAUGAAACUGCCAUACAAUGAAUUAGCUCCUAUGCUUCCGUGUUUACUCUGUUGAAUAGAUUGUUCUUGCACAUUCUUGCUUCCCAGUUAUCUAAAUCUCUUUCAUGUCCUCAUUUAUAAGGUGAGCGUUGAUUUGUAUUCACUCUUCUCUGUCAACCAGGAAGAACCAAUAGAGAAACAGAGGAUACAAAUUAUUUCAGAAGCUUCUGAGCAUAACUGUAUUUAAGAAGUACAUCAAUAUCAACUUCGACGAUAGCAGGUACAUACAGAUGAGAGACCAACCAAAGAUAUUCUGACAUGGAAGCAGAGCAACUAUUAGCGAUUUUUAUGGUGUUAUACCUCCAUCAUUACACCAGCUACAUUCUAACUUAUAGAGUUGGGCAAUAGUAAAGUUGUAAAUCAUGGCUUUGAAAUUUCUCAGAAGAAAAUGAAAGGAGACUCUAAAUUUGCCAACUUCAAAGCUGAGAGAAGAUGAAUGCGAAAUAUGCUUAGAGCCUUGUAACAAAAUGGUCUUACCGAAUUGAUGCUAUUCAAUGUGCAUUAAUUGUUACCGUGAUUGGAAUACAAGAUCAGAGUCCUGCCUUUUUACCGUGAUAAUUUGAAGAGCACCUUACUUAAAAUUUUGCAUCAAGUACAUCAAUUAUAUCACCUUCUAUGAAUGUGUAGGUAAACAACCUGAUACAGCAGUAUCAUGUUGAAGAUGGGGAUGAAAAGGAAGACAAAAUUUUGGACAGAUAGUUGUAUUGAAACAUGGAUAUUGAAGGAUGAGUUCCCUACUCUUUGUAGUUUAACCCUGAACAAAAAUGCUUAUAUUUGGUGAAUGUUUUGUCAACUAUAAAUGACAUCUAUAGUUUAAGAAAAACUUUAAUGAUAUGCAAAUCCAAGAUAUCAAUCACCUUUCACACUUUUGCAGCCAAUCUCUCUUUGAUGACAGCAGGAUGGACUCUCAAACUGGGCUUACUAGCAAUAGUGGCUUCUUCUCUAUUAAAAGUUGCUACAAUCUUCUCCAAAAGCUCGAUAGUAAAUGGGACAACAAGUGGCCUUAGAAGAUGACAUGGAGGACAGAAACAACACACCAAAAUGCCCUGGUUUGUGUGGAAUGAUGUCGAGGCAGCAUGUCUUAGCCAAGAUAAUUGGCAGAGAAGAGGACUCUCAGUUAUAUGUGUAAAAACUGACAAAGAAUCCAUCAAUCAUUUAAAUUUUUUGCCGUUGACCGGGUGAUGCCACAGAAUAUCACAUGCUUACUAUCAGAUUGGCAAGGACAAAUAAUUAAUAAAGUUACGUAUGUGAUGUAAGAACAUUUUUUUGUAGUGUAGCAUAUUUACGAACAAAACUACAAACAACUAUUGGAACGCUCAGCAAAAGAAGAGUAUAUUUCCAAUUCUUCAUUACAUUAUCACAUAUAUCAACUGGUACAUAACAUUACACGUGCAUUUACAAUAUCAGCUUGGUUGAAAAUAUUUAUUGUACUCCAUAAAUGUUGCCUAUCUAGGUUUCUCAUUCUUGCAACGGAAGAAACAUCUCUAGAAUAA